AGUGCAGUCGAGCGAGAAAGUUCUUCGGAGCUUUUCUAGCGGCGGACGGGUGAGUAACACGUGGGCAACCUGCCUCAUAGAGGGGAAUAGCCUUCCGAAAGGAAGAUUAAUACCGCAUAACAUUGUUGAAAGGCAUCUUUUAACAAUCAAAGGAGCAAUCCGCUAUGAGAUGGGCCCGCGGCGCAUUAGCUAGUUGGUGAGGUAACGGCUCACCAAGGCGACGAUGCGUAGCCGACCUGAGAGGGUGAUCGGCCACAUUGGAACUGAGACACGGUCCAGACUCCUACGGGAGGCAGCAGUGGGGAAUAUUGCACAAUGGGGGAAACCCUGAUGCAGCAACGCCGCGUGAGUGAUGAAGGUCUUCGGAUUGUAAAGCUCUGUCUUUAGGGACGAUAAUGACGGUACCUAAGGAGGAAGCCACGGCUAACUACGUGCCAGCAGCCGCGGUAAUACGUAGGUGGCAAGCGUUAUCCGGAUUUACUGGGCGUAAAGGGAGCGUAGGCGGAUAUUUAAGUGGGAUGUGAAAUACCCGAGCUUAACUUGGGAGCUGCAUUCCAAACUGGAUAUCUAGAGUGCAGGAGAGGAGAAUGGAAUUCCUAGUGUAGCGGUGAAAUGCGUAGAGAUUAGGAAGAACACCAGUGGCGAAGGCGAUUCUCUGGACUGUAACUGACGCUGAGGCUCGAAAGCGUGGGGAGCAAACAGGAUUAGAUA
rnacentral:rRNA from 1 species